rnacentral:piRNA from 1 species
UCCAUUAUCUUUGCUACCAUUACAGAUGGA